ensembl:snRNA U6 U6 spliceosomal RNA
GUGCUCACUUCAGCAGCAUAUAUACUAAAAUUGGAACGAUGCAGAGAAGAUUAGCAUGGUCCCUGGACAAGGAUGGCAUGAAAAUUUGUGAAGCAUUCCAUAUUUUA